UACAGAGGGUGCAAGCGUUAAUCGGAAUUACUGGGCGUAAAGCGCACGUAGGCGGUUUUUUAAGUCAGAUGUGAAAGCCCCGGGCUCAACCUGGGAAUUGCAUUUGAAACUGGGAAACUAGAGUGUGUGAGAGGGGGGUAGAAUUCCAAGUGUAGCGGUGAAAUGCGUAGAGAUUUGGGGGAAUACCAGUGGCGAAGGCGGCCCCCUGGCACAACACUGACGCUCAGGUGCGAAAGCGUGGGGAGCAAACAGG
rnacentral:rRNA from 1 species